rnacentral:rRNA from 1 species
CAUGCAGUCGAGCGGUAACAGGAGAAAGCUUGCUUUCUUGCUGACGAGCGGCGGACGGGUGAGUAAUGUAUGGGGAUCUGCCCGAUAGAGGGGGAUAACUACUGGAAACGGUGGCUAAUACCGCAUAAUGUCUACGGACCAAAGCAGGGGCUCUUCGGACCUUGCACUAUCGGAUGAACCCAUAUGGGAUUAGCUAGUAGGUGGGGUAAAGGCUCACCUAGGCGACGAUCUCUAGCUGGUCUGAGAGGAUGAUCAGCCACACUGGGACUGAGACACGGCCCAGACUCCUACGGGAGGCAGCAGUGGGGAAUAUUGCACAAUGGGCGCAAGCCUGAUGCC